rnacentral:rRNA from 1 species
UCAUGCCGCGUGUGUGAAGAAGGCCUUAUGGUUGUAAAGCACUUUAAGCGAGGAGGAGGCUACUUUANAUAAUACCUAGAGAUAGUGGACGUUACUCGCAGAAUAAGCACCGGCUAACUCUGUGCCAGCAGCCGCGGUAAUACAGAGGGUGCAAGCGUUAAUCGGAUUUACUGGGCGUAAAGCGCGCGUAGGCGGCUAAUUAAGUCAAAUGUGAAAUCCCCGAGCUUAACUUGGGAAUUGCAUUCGAUACUGGUUAGCUAGAGUGUGGGAGAGGAUGGUAGAAUUCCAGGUGUAGCGGUGAAAUGCGUAGAGAUCUGGAGGAAUACCGAUGGCGAAGGCAGCCAUCUGGCCUAACACUGACGCUGAGGUGCGAAAGCAUGGGGAGCAAACAGGAUUAGAUACCCUGGUAGUCCAUGCCGUAAACGAUGUCUACUAGCCGUUGGGGCCUUUGAGGCUUUAGUGGCGCAGAUAACGCGAUAAGUAGACCGACUGGGGAGUACGGUCGCAAGACUAAAACUCAAAUGAAUUUGACG